GAUACUGGCUCAGAACGAACGCUGGCGGCGUGGAUAAGACAUGCAAGUCGAACGAGAGAAUUGCUAGCUUGCUAAUAAUUCUCUAGUGGCGCACGGGUGAGUAACACGUGAGUAACCUGCCCCCGAGAGCGGGAUAGCCCUGGGAAACUGGGAUUAAUACCGCAUAGUAUCGAAAGAUUAAAGCAGCAAUGCGCUUGGGGAUGGGCUCGCGGCCUAUUAGUUAGUUGGUGAGGUAACGGCU
rnacentral:rRNA from 1 species